ensembl:lncRNA
GGGAAGCCACGCCCUUCUCUGCCGGCGUGACGUCAUCGCGCACGCACGCACGCACGCACGGGGGGCGUGGCCUCGUGACACAGCAGCGCCACUACGGAGGCCGGGAGGGGUCAAAAAGGACGCGGGGCCCACGAGGCCCUAUAGGGCCCUAUGGGGGCGGAGGGGGAGGGGGUCCUGAAGGCGGCUUUUAGGGCUUUAUAGGGCCCUAUGGGGCCUUAGAGCUGCCCUAUAGGGGCCGAAGGACCCCAUAAAGUUGAGCAAGAGGGGCCAUAUGGGGGUCUGUAGGUGCCCUAUAGGGGCUUAUAGGGUGCCCCAUAGGGGCCCUAUUGGUAUCUACAGCGAUCCUAAAGCUAUGGGGUCUUGCAGAUGCCAUAUAGGGACCCCAAAGAGGCUGAUAGAGGGCUAUAGGAACCUGAAACGACCCUAUAGGUGUCUAUGGGUACCUUAAAGCAGCCUCUGGGGCCUAUGGGGUGGGAUUCGGGGUCUCUGUGGGGUCUAUGGGGUGGGAUUUGAGGUCUAUAUGGGGUCUAUGGGGUGGGAUUUGAGGUCUAUAUGGGGUCUAUGGGGUGGGAUUUGAGGUCUAUAUGGGAUCCUGGGGUCUGUGGGGUGGGAUUCGGGGUCUCUGUGGGGUCUAUGGGGUGGGAUUUGAGGUCUAUAUGGGGUGUAUGGGGUGGGAUUUGGGGUCUAUAUGGGGUCUAUGGGGUGGGAUUUGAGGUCUAUAUGGGGUCUAUGGGGUGGGAUUUGGGGUCUAUAUGGGAUCUAUACGGGAUUUGGGGUCUAUGGGGAGGGCUUUGGGGUCUGUAUGGGGUCUAUGGGGUCGGAUUUGGGGUUUACAUGGGAUCUAUAUGGAUUUGGGGUCUAUUGGGUGGGAUUUGGGGUCUAUAUGGGAUCUAUAUGGGAUGCUGGGGUCUGUGGUGUGGGUUUUAGGGUCUGUAUGGGGUCUAUGGGGUGGGCUUUGGGGUCUAUAUGGGAUCUAUAUGGGAUCUUAGACUCUAUGGGUCUAUAUGGGAUCUGUAUGGGAUC